AGCUUGCUCCCCGGGAUCAGUGGCGGACGGGUGAGUAACGCGUGAGCAACCUGCCUGUGUGUGGGGGAUAACACCCGGAAACGGGUGCUAAUACCGCAUAACGCAACGGAGCCGCAUGACUUUGUUGCCAAAGAUAUAUUGCGCACAGAUGGGCUCGCGUCUGAUUAGAUAGUUGGUGAGGUAACGGCUCACCAAGUCGACGAUCAGUAGCCGGACUGAGAGGUUGACCGGCCACAUUGGGACUGAGAUACGGCCCAGACUCC
rnacentral:rRNA from 1 species